rnacentral:misc_RNA from 1 species
UUAAUAUGCAAUUUAAAAUGAACUUUUAGUCUUCGGUGACAAACGGCACCGUUUAAUAGUUUGAUGCCGGUCGCUAUUCGUACAUGGCGGAUGCUCCGUCGCAACAUCGCCGUAGAGAGUCUUCUUCGCCGCUGCGUCACCGUCAACUUGGAUGAGACAUAUUCUUAAAAGGAGAACGAUGUGGGUUAGAAGAUGGUUCUUCUAGGUGAUGAUAAUGACACUUGACAAAGUAGAGAGUGACAUGGAUUUCUCUUCUUGCAUCAGCUUCCACUUGACUAAAGUGAAUCACGUUUUAAUGUGUAAGCAUAUCUUGUGGGCCUUUCUCAUCCAAUGAUUUGUUUUUUGCUCCUCUAUGUUGUUUUGCAGACACUGUAGCUUCCCCACUUCUUCUUUUUGGUUUUAAAUUAUUGUGUAGCUAGUAACGAUGUGAAGUAUAACAACAGCCAUUUA